GAUGAACGCUGGCGGCGUGCCUAAUACAUGCAAGUCGAGCGAACAGACGAGGAGCUUGCUCCUCUGACGUUAGCGGCGGACGGGUGAGUAACACGUGGAUAACCUACCUAUAAGACUGGGAUAACUUCGGGAAACCGGAGCUAAUACCGGAUAAUAUAUUGAACCGCAUGGUUCAAUAGUGAAAGACGGUUUUGCUGUCACUUAUAGAUGGAUCCGCGCCGCAUUAGCUAGUUGGUAAGGUAACGGCUUACCAAGGCAACGAUGUGUAGCCGACCUGAGAGGGUGAUCGGCCACACUGGAACUGAGACACGGUCCAGACUCCUACGGGAGGCAGCAGUAGGGAAUCUUCCGCAAUGGGCGAAAGCUUGACGGAGCAACGCCGCGUGAGUGAUGAAGGUCUUCGGAUCGUAAAACUCUGUUAUUAGGGAAGAACAAAUGUGUAAGUAACUAUGCACGUCUUGACGGUACCUAAUCAGAAAGCCACGGCUAACUACGU
rnacentral:rRNA from 1 species